UGAACGCUGGCGGCGUGCCUAAUACAUGCAAGUCGAGCGAACAGACGAGGAGCUUGCUCCCCUGCCGUUAGCGGCGGACGGGUGAGUAACACGUGGAUAACCUACCUAUAAGACUGGGAUAACUUCGGGAAACCGGAGCUAAUACCGGAUAAUAUAUUGAACCGCAUGGUUCAAUAGUGAAAGACGGUUUUGCUGUCACUUAUAGAUGGAUCCGCGCCGCAUUAGCUAGUUGGUAAGGUAACGGCUUACCAAGGCAACGAUGCGUAGCCGACCUGAGAGGGUGAUCGGCCACACUGGAACUGGGACACGGUCCAGACUCCUACGGGAGGCAGCAGUAGGGAAUCUUCCGCAAUGGGCGAAAGCUUGACGGAGCAACGCCGCGUGAGUGAUGAAGGUCUUCGGAUCGUAAAACUCUGUUAUUAGGGAAGAACAAAUGUGUAAGUAACUAUGCACGUCUUGACGGUACCUAAUCAGAAAGCCACGGCUAACUACGUG
rnacentral:rRNA from 1 species